AUUGAACGCUGGCGGCAUGCCUUACACAUGCAAGUCGAACGGCAGCACGGGAGCAAUCCUGGUGGCGAGUGGCGAACGGGUGAGUAAUACAUCGGAACGUGCCCAGUAGUGGGGGAUAGCCCGGCGAAAGCCGGAUUAAUACCGCAUGAGACCUGAGGGUGAAAGCGGGGGAUCGCAAGACCUCGCGCUAUUGGAGCGGCCGAUGUCAGAUUAGCUAGUUGGUAGGGUAAAGGCCUACCAAGGCAACGAUCUGUAGUUGGUCUGAGAGGACGACCAGCCGAACUGGGACAGAGACACGGCCCAGACUCCUACGGGAGGCAGCAGUGGGGAAUUUUGGACAAUGGGCGCAAGCCUGAUCCAGCAAUGCCGCGUGCAGGAAGAAGGCCUUCGGGUUGUAAACUGCUUUUGUCAGGGAAGAAAUCUUCUGGGCUAAUACCCUGGGAGGAUGACGGUACCUGAAGAAUAAGCACCGGCUAACUACGUGCCAGCAGCCGCCGUAAGAC
rnacentral:rRNA from 1 species